UACGGGGGGGGCAAGCGUUGUUCGGAAUUACUGGGCGUAAAGGGCUCGUAGGUGGCCAACUAAGUCAGACGUGAAAUCCCUCGGCUUAACCGGGGAACUGCGUCUGAUACUGGUUGGCUUGAGUUUGGGAGAGGGAUGCGGAAUUCCAGGUGUAGCGGUGAAAUGCGUAGAUAUCUGGAGGAACACCGGUGGCGAAGGCGGCAUCCUGGACCAAUACUGACGCUGAGGAGCGAAAGCCAGGGGAGCAAACGGG
rnacentral:rRNA from 1 species